CGCGGCCUAUCAGCUUGUUGGUGGGGUAACGGCUCACCAAGGCAUCGACGGGUAGCUGGUCUGAGAGGACGAUCAGCCACACUGGGACUGAGACACGGCCCAGACUCCUGCGGGAGGCAGCAGUGGGGAAUCUUGCGCAAUGGGCGAAAGCCUGACGCAGCAACGCCGCGUGGGGGAUGAAGGCUCUCGGGUUGUAAACCCCUUUCAUCAGGGACGAAAUUGACGGUACCUGAAGAAGAAGCCCCGGCCAACUACGUGCCAGCAGCCGCGGUGACACGUAGGGGGCGAGCGUUGUCCGGAUUUAUUGGGCGUAAAGAGCUCGUAGGCGGUUGCGUAAGUCGGAUGUGAAAACUCAGGGCUCAACCCUGAGCCGCCAUUCGAUACUGCGCUGACUAGAGUCCGGUAGGGGAGCAUGGAAUUCCUGGUGUAGCGGUGAAAUGCGCAGAUAUCAGGAGGAGCACCAGUAGCGAAGGCGGUGCUCUGGGCCGGUACUGACGCUGAGGAGCGAAAGCAUGGGUAGCAAACAGGAUUAGAUACCCUGGUAGUCCAUGCCGUAAACGUUGGGUACUAGGUGUGGGACCUACUUAACGGGUUCCGUGCCGUAGCUAACGCAUUAAGUGCCCCGCCUGGGGAGUACGG
rnacentral:rRNA from 1 species